GGGUUGUGAGGUUAAGCGACUAAGCGUACACGGUGGAUGCCCUGGCAGUCAGAGGCGAUGAAGGACGUGCUAAUCUGCGAUAAGCGUCGGUAAGGUGAUAUGAACCGUUAUAACCGGCGAUUUCCGAAUGGGGAAACCCAGUGUGAUUCGUCACACUAUCAUUAACUGAAUCCAUAGGUUAAUGAGGCGAACCGGGGGAACUGAAACAUCUAAGUACCCCGAGGAAAAGAAAUCAACCGAGAUUCCCCCAGUAGCGGCGAGCGAACGGGGAGCAGCCCAGAGCCUGAAUCAGUGUGUGUGUUAGUGGAAGCGUCUGGAAAGGCGYGCGAUACAGGGUGACAGCCCCGUACACAAAAAUGCACAURCUGUGAGCUCGAUGAGUAGGGCGGGACACGUGGUAUCCUGUCUGAAUAUGGGGGGACCAUCCUCCAAGGCUAAAUACUCCUGACUGACCGAUAGUGAACCAGUACCGUGAGGGAAAGGCGAAAAGAACCCCGGCGAGGGGAGUGAAAAAGAACCUGAAACCGUGUACGUACAAGCAGUGGGAGCACAGAGCAAUCUGUGUGACUGCGUACCUUUUGUAUAAUGGGUCAGCGACUUAUAUUCUGUAGCAAGGUUAACCGAAUAGGGGAGCCGAAGGGAAACCGAGUCUUAACUGGGCGUUAAGUUGCAGGGUAUAGACCCGAAACCCGGUGAUCUAGCCAUGGGCAGGUUGAAGGUUGGGUAACACUAACUGGAGGACCGAACCGACUAAUGUUGAAAAAUUAGCGGAUGACUUGUGGCUGGGGGUGAAAGGCCAAUCAAACCGGGAGAUAGCUGGUUCUCCCCGAAAGCUAUUUAGGUAGCGCCUCGUGAAUUCAUCUCCGGGGGUAGAGCACUGUUUCGGCAAGGGGGUCAUCCCGACUUACCAACCCGAUGCAAACUGCGAAUACCGGAGAAUGUUAUCACGGGAGACACACGGCGGGUGCUAACGUCCGUCGUGAAGAGGGAAACAACCCAGACCGCCAGCUAAGGUCCCAAAGUCAUGGUUAAGUGGGAAACGAUGUGGGAAGGCCCAGACAGCCAGGAUGUUGGCUUAGAAGCAGCCAUCAUUUAAAGAAAGCGUAAUAGCUCACUGGUCGAGUCGGCCUGCGCGGAAGAUGUAACGGGGCUAAACCAUGCACCGAAGCUGCGGCAGCGACGCUGAUGCGUUGUUGGGUAGGGGAGCGUUCUGUAAGCCUGUGAAGGUGUACUGUGAGGUAUGCUGGAGGUAUCAGAAGUGCGAAUGCUGACAUAAGUAACGAUAAAGCGGGUGAAAAGCCCGCUCGCCGGAAGACCAAGGGUUCCUGUCCAACGUUAAUCGGGGCAGGGUGAGUCGACCCCUAAGGCGAGGCCGAAAGGCGUAGUCGAUGGGAAACAGGUUAAUAUUCCUGUACUUGGUGUUACUGCGAAGGGGGGACGGAGAAGGCUAUGUUGGCCGGGCGACGGUUGUCCCGGUUUAAGCGUGUAGGCUGGUUUUCCAGGCAAAUCCGGAAAAYCAAGGCUGAGGCGUGAUGACGAGGCACUACGGUGCUGAAGCAACAAAUGCCCUGCUUCCAGGAAAAGCCUCUAAGCAUCAGGUAACAUCAAAUCGUACCCCAAACCGACACAGGUGGUCAGGUAGAGAAUACCAAGGCGCUUGAGAGAACUCGGGUGAAGGAACUAGGCAAAAUGGUGCCGUAACUUCGGGAGAAGGCACGCUGAUAUGUAGGUGAAGUCCCUCGCGGAUGGAGCUGAAAUCAGUCGAAGAUACCAGCUGGCUGCAACUGUUUAUUAAAAACACAGCACUGUGCAAACACGAAAGUGGACGUAUACGGUGUGACGCCUGCCCGGUGCCGGAAGGUUAAUUGAUGGGGUYAGCGCAAGCGAAGCUCUUGAUCGAAGCCCCGGUAAACGGCGGCCGUAACUAUAACGGUCCUAAGGUAGCGAAAUUCCUUGUCGGGUAAGUUCCGACCUGCACGAAUGGCGUAAUGAUGGCCAGGCUGUCUCCACCCGAGACUCAGUGAAAUUGAACUCGCUGUGAAGAUGCAGUGUACCCGCGGCAAGACGGAAAGACCCCGUGAACCUUUACUAUAGCUUGACACUGAACAUUGAGCCUUGAUGUGUAGGAUAGGUGGGAGGCUUUGAAGUGUGGACGCCAGUCUGCAUGGAGCCGACCUUGAAAUACCACCCUUUAAUGUUUGAUGUUCUAACGUUGACCCGURAUCCGGGUUGCGGACAGUGUCUGGUGGGUAGUUUGACUGGGGCGGUCUCCUCCUAAAGAGUAACGGAGGAGCACGAAGGUUGGCUAAUCCUGGUCGGACAUCAGGAGGUUAGUGCAAUGGCAUAAGCCAGCUUGACUGCGAGCGUGACGGCGCGAGCAGGUGCGAAAGCAGGUCAUAGUGAUCCGGUGGUUCUGAAUGGAAGGGCCAUCGCUCAACGGAUAAAAGGUACUCCGGGGAUAACAGGCUGAUACCGCCCAAGAGUUCAUAUCGACGGCGGUGUUUGGCACCUCGAUGUCGGCUCAUCACAUCCUGGGGCUGAAGUAGGUCCCAAGGGUAUGGCUGUUCGCCAUUUAAAGUGGUACGCGAGCUGGGUUUAGAACGUCGUGAGACAGUUCGGUCCCUAUCUGCCGUGGGCGCUGGAGAACUGAGGGGGGCUGCUCCUAGUACGAGAGGACCGGAGUGGACGCAUCACUGGUGUUCGGGUUGUCAUGCCAAUGGCACUGCCCGGUAGCUAAAUGCGGAAGAGAUAAGUGCUGAAAGCAUCUAAGCACGAAACUUGCCCCGAGAUGAGUUCUCCCUGACUCCUUGAGAGUCCUGAAGGAACGUUGAAGACGACGACGUUGAUAGGCCGGGUGUGUAAGCGCAGCGAUGCGUUGAGCUAACCGGUACUAAUGAACCGUGAGGCUUAACCUUACAACGCCGAAG
rnacentral:rRNA from 1 species